AUCAUGGACUGUAGCCCACCAGGCCUCUCUGUCCAUGGGAUUUUUCAGCAUACGGGAUCUUAGAUCUACAAUCAGGGACCAAACCCAUCCCUCCUGCAGGGGAAGCACAGGGUCUUAACCACUGGAUCACCAGAGAAGUCCUGUAGAAGUUGUGCUCGGCUGAGUCUCAUGGCUAUAGAUGGAGCAAAGGAGCUAAAAUGAAGUAGGAAUUGGAAGAACAGAGGAGAAAAACUGGAUUUUUGCCACCAAUAUUCAUCCUUCACUUACCCUGAAGACCAUUUUCUAAGACGGAGGCAUGGUAGGUCUCCUUAGAAAUAACUGACGAGAUUAAGGAACAAAGAAUACAAGCCAAAUGUCCUGUAAAUCGAGGAGCAAGGCUGUCUGAUCCAAGCAGACACUGUUAUGACAUCCUGUACCUGGAUUCAUAAAAUUCCCUAUGGGAACCACAUAAUUCAGGCCAAGGAUACCUCUGGAAACAUUUGUCAUUUGUUCAGCUUUCAAGAAUGGCUUUGUGUUAGAUUUGCAGUGAGUGGCAUUGAAUAUUAUAGUUUUGGUAAAUGUCGAGAGUAUCAUAAUGUAAAUUGCUUAUUUCAAAAUGACAUUUUUCUGUGCCUUAGUAGCUUCUUAAACUUUCACCAAUGUUAAUAAUUCAAUUUGGAGACAUGUCUGACUGGGAGAGAAUUCUCUCUCCCACGAGUCACUUCAAUCACCUUCCUAGUUGAUGGAGCAAAAGUACCCAUUUCAAAAGUGAGUGUGGAAAUGCAGCAGAGUGAAUGGAAGAACUCGAUGAGAAAGUUGAACUGGAUGCUAGUCUUAGCUCUGUCACUUAGUAUAUAUGUGAUACUGAGUUAUAAAUAGCUGUUCUGCUCCUCAGUGUCAGACUCUGUAUUUAUGAUCCUUCCUACCUCACCUACUUCCUUAGAAAUAAGGUCAUGAACAUGACAUCUCAUUAUACUCCAAGAUGCAACACACGUUUGAGAUGUUACACUUCAGUAUCAAGGUUAAGUGUCAAAAGAACUCAAUAAUGAUGUCAUUCAGAAACAGGAUUUGGAAGGAUAAUGGCUAUGAAAAUAAGAAGGUAAGAGAAUGAUGGUUCAAAGGGAAGAAGCAGCACCUAUAACAGUGUAAGAAUCAGAAGUCCUAAACUGAAAAUCUGCAACUAGGAGGAAACAAAGAUGAGAGGUCUGGAUCCAUCUGUGAUUUUUGUUCCUCUGGCCAAGAACUACAGUAUUAUUUCUUAAGUGAAGCCUGUUGUUGCUUAAGAUUGCCAAAGAGUGACUUACAAGCCCGGGAAGACUUUUCCUAAAAGUCUUUAUUGGUUGACUUUUCUGUAAUGGUUCAGUUCAGUCACUCAGUCGUGUCCGACUCUUUGCAACCCCAUGAAUCGCAGCACGCCAGGACUCCCUGUCCAUCACCAACUCCCGGAGUUCACUCAGACUCACGUCCAUCAAAUCGGUGAUGCCAUCCAGCCAUCUCAUCCUCUGUCAUCCCCUUCUCCUCCUGCCCCCAAAUGGUAAUCAAUUAAAAAUAUUUUUACUUGGGCCCUUGACUAAGAC
ensembl:lncRNA